rnacentral:rRNA from 1 species
UACGGGGGGGGUAAGCGUUGUUCGGAAUUACUGGGCGUAAAGGGCUCGUAGGCGGCCAACUAAGUCGGACGUGAAAUCCCUCAGCUUAACUGGGGAACUGCGUCCGAUACUGGAUGGCUUGGAUUUGGGAGAGGGGAUGCGGAAUUCCAGGUGUAGCGGUGAAAUGCGUAGAUAUCUGGAGGAACACCGGUGGCGAAGGCGGCAUCCUGGACCAAUAUUGACGCUGAGGAGCGAAAGCCAGGG